AGUGAACGCUGGCGGUAGGCCUAACACAUGCAAGUCGAACGGCAGCACAGUAAGAGCUUGCUCGUACGAGUGGCGAGUGGCGGACGGGUGUGGAAUACAUCGGAAUCUACUUUUUCGUGAGGUAUAACGUCGGGAAACUUACGCUACUACCGCAUACGACCUCCGGGUGAAAGCAGGGGCUCUUCGGACCUUGCGCGAUUGAAUGCGCCGAUGUCGGAUUAGCUAGUUGGCGGGGAAAAGGCCCACCAAGGCGACGAUCCGUAGCUGGUCUGAGAGGAUGGUCAGCCACAUUGUAACUGAGACAGGGUCCAGACUCCUACGGGAGGCAGCAGUGGGGAAUAUUGGACAAGGGGCGCAAGCCUGAUCCAGCCAUACCGCGUGGGUGAAGAAGGCCUUCGGGUUGUAAAGCCCUUUUGUUGGGAAAGAAAAGCAGCAGGUUAAUACCCCGCUGUUCUGACGGUACCCAAAGAAUAAGCACCGGCUAACUUCGUG
rnacentral:rRNA from 1 species